AGUUGCUGUCUCUGUUUUCAAAGCUGGGUGGGGGGUUCAAGGCAGCACAUAACAUAAAAACAUUAUAUAUCUACAAGUGUGUUUACUAAAUACAUGUAUUAUUAUGCUAAUGUAAUUUAAUUGAUAAAGGUUUUUUUAUUUAAGAAAAUCUGAGCAUCACUCAAAAUAACUGUCAACAUGUUUGUCAACUAAACAUGUUUUGUAAACGUUAUACAUUUUAUAAAAAUAUUUAAUAUUUUUAUUAUUGAUAAAGUAUAAAGAACAAAUCAGUGUGAAAACGCAGAUUAUAAAAAGUACAUAAAGUGCCAGCAGAGGAUCCAAAAUAAUGAAAAAAAAAAAAAACAUCCAAUGCAACUUGGAAAUUGUAGUCAAAAUACAUCUACAGCAGCAUGCUAAAGCAGUACCAACGCCAGGGCAAAAGACUCAAAUUCCCAGAAUGCACCUGCACCCACCCAUUCAUUCCCACCAAUCAGGAUCAACGGCAUUUUUCAAACCGCUACUGACUCGUUUUCAUGCUAAACAGUACGGCUGAGGUAAGUUUGACUUUCAUUUACAUCGAUCGCGCAGAUCUGUUCCAUAUUUGUUCCUAUUUUGUUCUUCACUGUGAUUAUUUUUGUCUUUAUGCGAGAAGUGUUUUAAUUUAAAGCACACACAGGAAACAUUAAGAAGGUCAUGUACCAUGUGGUCGACCUUGCUGACGCUGAAGAGGUUUCUGUGUAAAAAUGAUGACAUUGAGACAAACAGACCAGUUCUGGCUGCCGUGGAGGUCAACACACCACUGAUCUACUGGCUGCCCUUCAACGUGAUGCCCAGCCGAUGCCUGACCACCGACAGAACUAGGGCUGCACGAUAAGUCGCAUGUGUUUGUCAGGCGCAUCUCCUCAGUAAUGCCGGUUCC